rnacentral:rRNA from 1 species
GACGAACGCUGGCGGCGUGCUUAACACAUGCAAGUCGAACGAAGUGGCGAACGUGUGAAUAAUACGUGGUUAACCUGCCCUCCUUUUUGCGGUAAGCCUUGGAAACGGGGUCUACUACCUGAUAAAGGGGGAUGUGCUCGCGUCCUAGAGGCGUGUUGGUGGGGUGAUGGCCUACCAAGGCGGUGACGGGUAGCCGGCCGGAGAGGGUGAUCGGCCACAUGGGGACUGAGAUACGGCCCAGACUCCUACGGGAGGCAGCAGUGGGGAAUAUUGAACAAUGGGCGAAAGCCUGAUGCAGCCAUGCCGCGUGUGUGAAGAAGGCCUUCGGGUUGUAAAGCACUUUCAGCGAGGAGGCGUUACUCGCAGAAGAAGCACCGGCUAACUCCGUGCCAGCAGCCGCGGUAAUAC